GUGUGGAAUUGCAAGCAGAAGCUUCGGCAGCAGGGGCUCCAGGAAGGACGUGGAAGCACUGUUGAACAGGGCAGCGCAUCCCACAUAAGCUGGAGCUGAGGCUGACAUUUAUUAGUUUAAAUGGGGAGCUCACACUUGUGCAUCUUUGCCUCUGCUUUCAUGCUUUCACAUUCUCAAUGAGAUGAAGAGCAGAAGACAUCUGCGGUAGCUGAAUAUAGACAAAAAUUGCUCAGCUAUGGACCCAGGAGAAACGCUGGAAUGUGACACGAUGUGAUUUUGCAGUAUGAAGCUAGCUCCCUUCCCUAGACAAGCAGAACUCUCAGUCUUCAGUGCACCUUUCUGUCAAGGCUCCAGCACUCACAUACGGAGUAUAUGAAUGAGAUUUGGAAAGAACCAGCUGGCGGUGUGGACAUUUUCUCCCUCAAUAUUCUCUUUGAUGUGAGACUCUGAUGACAUAUUUU
rnacentral:lncRNA from 1 species